GAUCUGUGAUUCUUCGUUCUUCAAUUUUCGGCCAAGUUCACGCUACAGUGCCACCAUGGAUGUAGUCAGCGCCUCAAUGUCUAGAAUAGCCCCUAACCUAGACCUCCGAUUUCGACCAGAGGCACCCAGCUUUGCCAUGAGAGCCACCGGCUUACCUCUUUCGUCUGGUAAGCUAUAUUUCAUCACCUCUCUUUGGUUGAGGCCUUUAUUCUAUUAUGAAUCGGAAGCCCUAAUUAUGUGUUAUUCAAUUUGGAUGAAUUGAGGUUUGUGGAAUUUGCGUUUUUGGAGUUUUGGUAAAUGAGGAGACUGCUGGGUCAGUUUCAAUUGAAACUGGAGAAGGUAUUUACACGACUGUUGAUGGUAGAUUGCAGCAAUUGGAACUAGCUCUCAGUUUGGAAAAGAAGAAUUGGACUCGAGCGUGUGCACAUGGAUUUGGACAAAUGAUCGAAAGUCGGGAACGAACCCGAAUGUGGAUGAGCACUCCAUAUCCAGGUA